UCGGGGUGCACCAGGCGCGAAAACUUUACAAUGCCGGCAACGGCGAUAAGGGAACCUCGAGUGCCAGGUUACAAAUCUGGCCGUCGUGAUGCCUAAAAAGCAUUGCAUAGCAAGGGCCGGGCAAGACCGGUGCCAGCCGCCGCGGUAACACCGGCGGCUCGAGUGGUAACCGUUAUUAUUGGGUCUAAAGGGUCUGUAGCCGGCCGGGUAAGUCUCUUGGGAAAUCUGGCAGCUUAACUGUCAGGCUUUCAGGAGAUACUGCCUGGCUCGAGGCCGGGAGAGGUGAGAGGUACUUCAGGGGUAGGGGUGAAAUCUUGUAAUCCUUGAAGGACCACCAGUGGCGAAGGCGUCUCACCAGAACGGACCUGACGGCAAGGGACGAAAGCUAGGGGCACGAACCGGAUUAGAUACCCGGGUAGUCCUAGCCGUAAACGAUACUCGCUAGGUGUCGGCCACGGUGCGACCGUGGUCGGUGCCGUAGGGAAGCCGUGAAGCGAGCCACCUGGGAAGUACGGCCGCAAGGCUGAAACUUAAAGGAAUUGGCGGGGGAGCAC
rnacentral:rRNA from 1 species